rnacentral:rRNA from 1 species
CAGUCGCCGCGGUAAUACGAAGGGUGCAAGCGUUAAUCGGAAUUACUGGGCGUAAAGCGUGCGUAGGCGGUGAGUUAAGUCUGCUGUGAAAUCCCCGGGCUCAACCUGGGAAUGGCAGUGGAUACUGGCUCGCUAGAGUGUGUCAGAGGAUGGUGGAAUUCCCGGUGUAGCGGUGAAAUGCGCAGAUAUCAGGAGGAACACCGAUGGCGAAGGCAGGUCUCUGGGCAUUAACUGACACUGAGGAGCGAAAGCAUGGGGAGCAAACAGGAUUAGAUACCCCCGUAGUCCCUGUCUCUUAUAC